CACGUAGGGGGCAAGCGUUGUCCGGAUUUAUUGGGCGUAAAGAGCUCGUAGGCGGUCUGUCGCGUCGGUCGUGAAAACUUGGGGCUUAACCCUGAGCUUGCGGUCGAUACGGGCAUGACUGGAGUUCGGCAGGGGAGACUGGAAUUCCUGGUGUAGCGGUGAAAUGCGCAGAUAUCGGGAGGAACACCGGUGGCGAAGGCGGCGACCUGGGUAGAUACUGACGCUGAGGUGCGAAAGCGUGGGGAGCAAACAGG
rnacentral:rRNA from 1 species